rnacentral:rRNA from 1 species
UGGGGAAUAUUGGACAAUGGGCGCAAGCCUGAUCCAGCCAUGCCGCGUGAGUGAUGAAGGCUCUAGGGUUGUAAAGCUCUUUCACCGGUGAAGAUAAUGACGGUAACCGGAGAAGAAGCCCCGGCUAACUUCGUGCCAGCAGCCGCGGUAAUACGAAGGGGGCUAGCGUUGUUCGGAUUUACUGGGCGUAAAGCGCACGUAGGCGGACUUUUAAGUCAGGGGUGAAAUCCCGGGGCUCAACCCCGGAACUGCCUUUGAUACUGGAAGUCUUGAGUAUGGUAGGGGUGGGUGGAAUUCCGAGUGUAGAGGUGGAAUACGUAGAUAUUCGGAGGAACACCAGUGGCGAAGGCGGCUCACUGGACCAUUACUGACGCUGAGGUGCGAAAGCGUGGGGAGCAAACAGG